rnacentral:rRNA from 1 species
UACGUAGGGUGCAAGCGUUGUCCGGAAUUAUUGGGCGUAAAGAGCUCGUAGGCGGUCUGUCGCGUCGGCUGUGAAACUCGGGGCUCAACCCCGAGCCUGCAGUCGAUACGGGCAGACUAGAGUGCGGUAGGGGAGACUGGAAUUCCUGGUGUAGCGGUGAAAUGCGCAGAUAUCAGGAGGAACACCGAUGGCGAAGGCAGGUCUCUGGGCCAUAACUGACGCUGAGAAGCGAAAGCAUGGGAGCGAACAGG